rnacentral:lncRNA from 1 species
CACACACACACACACACACACACAAAUUCAGGAUGAAGACAUGAGAGUUAAGGGAAAAGUUCCAGUACAUGAGGCCAAAGAGAGAAUCAAAUGUUGUACAAAUUUUGUUGGCUUUUAUUUCUAAAUGAAAUUUUGCCAGAGAGUUAGCAAUUAUCCUUUGGUGCCAAACCAGACACACAUACAAAGGUAUCUACAGACACUAGAACUGAGAGAAUCAUUGUAACCUAUUAAAAAGCAUUUUAGAGAGCAUAUAUCAGUAAGAUGUGUAAAAGUUCUAAGGAAAGCAGAAAACUACCAUUUAUGACAUAUGACAUAAUUUUAUAUACAUGGAAAAUUUAUGCAGUUUCAAAGAAAAAAAAUACAAAUUUUGAGAAUAUAGUAAAUUAGGUGCUGAAAAUAGUGUGACUCAUUAUUUUUUCUAGGUAUAGAUUGUCAAUUCAAAUUAGCAAGGUAUGUCAUUUAGAAUAUCAAUGUAAAAGCAAUUAUAUAGUUAUGAGGUUAAGACAUUUGAAGGAUUUUUUUCCUUUGUGAUACUGGGGAUAGAUCAUAGACGUCAUGCAUGCCGGGCAUGGGAUUCACCACUAAGCACAUACCCAGCUUUAGAAGGAACAUUUUCAAAUUCUACCUAGUUAUAAAAAUAAUUGUGUAAUUGUGCAUGAACACAACACACACACAAAUAUACACACAUGUAUAUAUUGUUCUUGAAUAUAUGUGAUAAAUAUUUUUGAUAUACAUGCCAUCUAUAAGUGAUUCUGAAAGAUUACCACACUUUAAUGUAGAGUAACUUCUAAUAACAGCUCAGUGCAACUUGAAAUAGAAGUGCAAUCAAAUAAUCUUUAAAAACAUAAAAUAAAAGAGAUGUGAUCUUCUCUGAAGAUCACACACAGAUCUACAAUUAAGAUUUGGUUAGAUAAAACAUGAAAAUAGUUUAAAACUUCCAGAAUGUGAUGAUUGUAUGACCAGUUAAAAAGGAGUCGAUUAGUACAUGCAUUGAGAUAUCAAGGCAGGAAGUCAGAAAGGAAAGAAAUAGAUACACUAAAUAUGUAUCCUAUUUCAUUAUUUAAAGUAAGUUCUAGAAGUUAUUGAGUGACGUCACCAUCAUCAUGACCAUCAUCAUCACCACCACCACCAUCAUCAUCACCAUCACCAUCACUAUUAUCAUUCUGGCCAUUUGUUGGUCGGUUACUCGGUUUCAGUAAUGGGACAGCCAAACCUUUUAAAUUAAAACACAAAAUAAAGAAUCUUUAUAGGAAACCAUUAGGUAAUUGAAUUUUAAAAUACCACAAACAGAGCCAAGGAGGAUAUUUUUAAAAACUUAUAUCAACAUUGAUUAACAUGAGUCAAAGAGAUAACUUAAUUACUAUGCAAAUAUUUUUAAAUUACAUUUUAGAAAAUGCACUAGCACCCAUAAGAAAACCAACCAACAUUACAACAUGUAAUUCUAGGCAAAGGAAUGCUAAUUAUAAAUAAACAUCUAAGAAGAUGUUAGCUACUUCAAUACAAGAAUUAAAGACCUUUUUUUUACUGGGGCACAAAUUGCAAUGCCAGUAUGAAAUUAGCACCAGUACUGAAAUACAUUAUACCCACCCCCAUUGCUUCUGCCAGGCAAGUGAGUCUAGGGACUUCCUACAAGUAAAAUUCUGGAUAUAAACAAAGAUUUAGCAUUGCAAGUUGUCUACUGUGCCCUGUUGAUUAUGUUCUUUCCUAGAACUGAUUACUAUAGUGUUGUUGUUGUUGUUGCUGUUGUUGUUUAAGUGAAGUUUUUCCACUAAUGAGACUGUGUAAAUUCUGUUAGAUAAAACUGAACACAAAAUCCAAAUUAGAGAACCCAGCAUCCCUGCUGUAUUUUGCUGCUGUGCAAAGAAGGGAGAUACACAUGUUUUUGUAUAGCAGUUGAAACUUUCUGCAUAAACACACACCAAGAUGUUGACAGCUAAGAAUCUAGGGUGAUGACUUGAGACUUUUGUUGUUUGAUAUUUUUCAGUCUUUUGAAUAUAUUAUUUUCAUCAUAAAUAAUGAAACCCACUGAACAGCUAUGCCACUUUAUUGUAGCUCUCUAUCAGCUACUAUAAAUCCCCAAUCUAGACAAACUGUGUAGAAAUUUCUCGGUCUCUUAUAUUAGAGUUCCUUGCCAUCUUCUGAGACCAAACACUGCAAAGAUGGAAUGGGAAUAGAAUUCUUUCUGGGGUCUUUUGUUUGUUUAUUUGUUUUUAUAAAACUAGAUUCACCUGCAACUUGGGUCCUCAGCUCUAUACUUUAACAUUCUGAUUUUAUUAUUUUGAGGGGACCAUGGUGGUUUUUUUAAAAGCAAGAAAUAUUAGAAUAUAUUAAGUCUUGAAAUACAUUGCAAAACUGAAAUAUUUUUAGUGUCUUAAAAAAAUCACAUUUUUCCUUAAAUGACAGAACAGACAAAAGUCAUUGCAAACACAUUCAUUUUCGAGUUAUAUCUUCCUCAGAACAACACAUGCAAAUCAUAUUUAGUAGCAAUCACAUUUCCUAGCAACUAAGCAUAGCUAAUUGCAUUUAACAAAGUCUCUACCAAGAUAAUUUCACAUUUGAAAAAUUAAUAAACACUUUGAAGAAGAGAGAGAUCUUAAAAAUUCUUUUACUUACUCCUAACCCAGUGGCUUACAUCUGCUGUUCCAUCACUCAGAAGGCUGAGGCAAGAGGAUUGUUAUCAGUUCAAAAGCAAGCCUACCUAGUGAGUUCAAGGUCACCCUAAGCUAUAACUUGAGACCCUUUCCCAACCAAAUU